GUUGCAACUCUACCUUUGCCAGUUGCAAGUCUGGAUGAGAAAGAGGAGCACAAC
rnacentral:ribozyme from 2 species